UUUGGCUCCGAAUUCCUGGGACAUGCAGGAGCUGAUGAUCUGCUGCAGCACAUCAAAGAAUGUGUUGCACAAGUCAAAAUGAAGCAGCUUCUCUCGGUAGGAAUGGAUGGCCCCAAUGUCAACUUCAAACUCCUGGAUCUCCUUCAAAAGGAGCAUGCUGAGCUGCAUGGAGGUUCUCAAAUCCUGAUGGUUGGGAGCUGUGGACUUCACACCCUCCACAAUGCCAUGAAGGCAGGCUUUACAGCCUGGCAAAUUGACAAACUCCUGCGAGCGCUCCAUUUCCUCUUCCACAACGUUCCUGCCCGGAGAGAGGACUACACCAACAUCACUGGGUCCUCUUGCUUUCCCCUCUCUUUUUGCGGCCACAGAUGGGUGGAAAAUGUGCCGGUUGCAGAGAGAGUCCUGGAAGUUUGGCCCAUGAUUCAGACGUAUGUCAAUGCUGCUGAGAAUAAUAGGGUCCAAAAACCGAACACAGCCUCUUAUGACGCCAUCCUGGCAGCACAAGGAGAUCCAGUAUUAAUUCCGAAGCUUCAAUUCUUCCUUCCCAUUGCAAGAAGUUUUAACCCUUUUCUGAAGAAAUAUCAAACGGACGAGCCAGUGUUGCCUUUUUUGGCAAAGGAUUUAACUGAGCUCCUGAUGAGUUUACUGCAGCGUUUCAUCAAAAGGGAUCUCCUACAGGACCGAACCUCCCUGCAGUUGAUCAAAUUGGACGUCUCUGAGGAGAAUAACUGUGUCUCCCUCAAAAGGGUAGAUAUAGGCUUGGGGGCUGAAUCUGCCAUCAAGGCACUCCUGCGCAAACCAGGAACCAAGAUAGGGGAACUCUCAGUACUCCACCUCAGAAAGGAGUGUUUGCAGUGUCUGAUUAAGAUUGUAAAGAAACUGCAGGAAAAAUCCCCAUUGAAAUUCCCCAUUGUUAGGCAGAUAACCUGCUUGGAUCCCACAAGGAUGGCCAGGGAUCCAGAGUUGUG
ensembl:lncRNA